rnacentral:lncRNA from 1 species
CUCCCUCUCGCCCCACCUCUGUGUGAGCGACCCAGUGAAAGAUGAGCCCUUGAGGCACAUUCCCUAGUAGAUUUAAAUGACAAAUCUAGAAAGAAGCGGUUUAAAUAUUUAUGAAGAGGCGGAGAGGUGUAGAGUGUCUUCCGGAAACGCUUCUGAUUGGCUGGUGUUUUCAAGCAAGUGUUAGCUUUAUGAAAUGAGUGAGUACCCCCAGAUCAAUUCAAUGAUUAUGUUUCGUGCUUCGGUUUUUCUUCUUCCAAAAGCGCCACACCAUAUACAUCUAUUUAUUUUCUCAGUAAUUGGUUGCAUGUGUGGUCCGAGGGGCUCACUUUUGUCACAUUUUCACUCUCAAUAUAUUUUGUUUUUUGUAAAUCAUGUCUUAUUUUCAUCAAUUUUAAAAUGCAAAGAUCUGGGACAGAUGGAAACAAUUAGAACCUCCGCUCUGCUGAUGUGUAUAAUCUUAUUAGUUUAAUGGGUCACAGGGUGCAGGACCUAUUUCCUAUAGAUCAAAGUGAAAACAAACACGGUUAAUAUCCCAUUUUGUUUUAGAACCACAUCGGAUCGGGUUCCCUCUCUGGGCCGUGGUAAUGACAAUAUUAAGAGAGCUUGGGUUGCCUUGAAGUUUAGAGGGAAAAUUGAGUCAUGAAGCAUUUUGGUUUAAAAAUGCAUUGAUAUUAACACCAGGUAGCCGGUUGCCAGGUCCCUGAGCUCUCUUGCGUUUAUCACAACAGCAUGGCUUUUUAAAGGAUUUCAGUAAUGCUCGUUUUGAUCUUUUGCCUUAAAGCAAGUGAAAAAUCAUGCUUAUUUGGUUGUUAAUUAUACCAGUUCUCAGGUUUCCUCUAUUCAGGCUCAGUGCAAAACUUCCGAGCCCUUGGUGUAAUUUUCAACUAUGACUUCUUAAUGAUUUUUUUUCUUCAUCUGUGGAUAGUAGUCACAGACUCUUUUCAGAAUUUAAUUUAAAAAAAAAAGUUAAGGAGCCACAUGACCGCCACCCAAAAUGCAGCAUUUCAUUUCAGGGAGUUCCUGACCGCCUAAGGCCACUCCAUAGACUCCUAAAUAUCUGUGAACUCCGGUAUCAGAACCCACACCUUAAGGAAAUGUCUUUCAUAUUUUGAGUUGUGUUCGGUUGUGUUAUUCCGAGGCCAAAAUAUAAUCUUCUAAGCACCUACGGGGUUGGACCAGAGCCUCUCUCUUCGUGACAAAGACCCCCUUUGGAAACCUCCCGCAGCAACUUCUCACCCCAAUAAAUUAAAUGCAGCCGCAGUGUGGUCCAUUACACUGGAGUGUGAGGUGACGGCCCCUGUCAAAGGUGAACGGCCCAGUACAGCCCCUUAAAUAUUCCUACAGAUAAUAAAUAUCUGUGUAAGGAAGGGAUGUAAAAGUUUCCUAUUCGUUUGGAAAGCUCGGUACUACAACAAUGAAUAAACAUUGCAGACUGAUGAAUGCCCCCAAGUCCCUCCACAGAGGCGGCGGGGAGAGAACCAGAUCUUAAAAAAUUUUUCACUCUAGGCCUGGAGGCCGGGUGCUGCGGCCACCCGUGCCUCGACGUGUUCCUCCGCACGGGCUCUAGGAAUGUAAAUACCACGAGUUGAGACAGGUCUGGGCCCCGGACAGAGCGGUCCGUGGUUUUAGCAAUUCAUUUUAAUUCCGAAGCGGUCCAGUGCAUUUGCUUUCACUUGGUUGCGCGGGGCUGGAAUUGAUAAGAGAGAAAACCAUGUACUUGUCCUUGUGGGUUGGGAAACAGGGUCACUGAAUCCUGGGCUGGCUCU